AUAACAUCAGAGUGAUACAAGAACUUGGAGUAGCUAAUGUUACAGCAGGUUAAAAAAAAUGCACCCUGGAUUUCUAAACUAUGCUGACUCCUCAGUGGUGAAGAAUCAAUCCUGUAUGGAAUCUUGCCAUUUGUUGCUAAGAAAUCCUUAAUAAUCUUUUGCUUCUUUCUCUGCUAUUUGUUCCAGUUGCAUGAAGUGUUCCAACUCAAUCCCACUGGAAGACGAAAAAAAGAUGCCUCCCCGAGAGAGAACAGAAAAUGUGGCUUCACAAACUUUAAAACCACAUUGUUUAUUCAAAUAGGUAAAUGCAGGCACAAAUAUCAAUCCUAGUGGCACAGACUUAUUAGCUUUACACUAUGGAUGCCAACUGUGAAGCAGGCAGCACGGUGCCUGUGGAAUAGCAGGCCACAUAACGUUCUCAGUCUCACCUGAGAAAGUGGCCUGGGAAAUCAUAAGGAGGAAUUAAAACAAUCCUCAGAGAUAGAGAACAGCCUUGCAGGUGCUGUUUGUCUGUUUCUUGUUUUCUUGCAAGAGAAAGUUGAGGGGUGGUGAACCCCACUGACCAAUGAUGGUGAUGUGUUAGUUCACUAACCAAUAAGAGUUUUCUUUUCUGUACUUUCACAUAUCUGUCUAUAAAAAAUAUCUGAGGU
rnacentral:lncRNA from 1 species